rnacentral:rRNA from 1 species
AUUGAACGCUGGCGGCAUGCCUUACACAUGCAAGUCGAACGGCAGCACGGACUUCGGUCUGGUGGCGAGUGGCGAACGGGUGAGUAAUAUAUCGGAACAUACCUUGUAGUGGGGGAUAACUAUCCGAAAGGAUAGCUAAUACCGCAUACGCUCUAAGGAGGAAAGUGGGGGAUCGCAAGACCUCAUGCUAUAAGAGUGGCCGAUAUCUGAUUAGCUAGUUGGUGAGGUAAAGGCUCACCAAGGCGACGAUCAGUAGCUGGUCUGAGAGGACGACCAGCCACACUGGAACUGAGACACGGUCCAGACUCCUACGGGAGGCAGCAGUGGGGAAUUUUGGACAAUGGGGGCAACCCUGAUCCAGCAAUGCCGCGUGAGUGAAGAAGGCCUUCGGGUUGUAAAGCUCUUUUGUCAGGGAAGAAACGGUUGUGGCUAAUAUCCAUGGCUGAUGACGGUACCUGAAGAAUAAGCACCGGCUAACUACGUGCCAGCCGCCGCCGUAAUAC